rfam:Schistosoma haematobium scaffold3866_2, whole genome shotgun sequence.
AUACAGCUGACGAGUCCCAAGUCGGACGAAAUAUGCGUCCUGAAU